GUCCCUGUAGCGCAAUGGAUAGCGUGUUGAACUAUUAAUCCAAAGGUCAUGAGUUCGAAUGUGAAUCUGGGAUG